UUUAGAAAAAUGGUAUUUUUU
rnacentral:piRNA from 1 species